UCGCCGGACCCGUUCGGGGAUCCCCCGGUGUGGGGCAGACCCCGCAGCCCCGGCGGGGAGCAGCCCCCCCUGACGCGGCCUUCCUCCAACUCGGCCUCCUCGUCCUCCUCCUCGCCGGCCCCCCCGAGCGGGGGGGAGUCCUCCAGCCCCUCUCCCUGGGGCUGCCAAGGGCCGGGGACCAGGCUGAGCGAGGGGGGCACGGCCGGGACCCCCCCUCUGCAGUCGGAGCCGGAAAGGGCUUGCAGCGAGAUAGCAGCCACAGGACACCUCAAUCUUCCAGAGAAAAAGAAUUUAUUGCUCUCUUAUCAGAAGAAACGAACUUCUUCCUGCUUUGAAGGCACUGUUGGGAUUCGGAGGAAGAAGUUGAUGAUGAGUAGACAGAGUCCUGUGUUUGAAUGGAAUUUAUGCACCAUGGAUGAAGUGUGUGAGUAUACAACAUCCUUCUCUACAGGAUCCCUGCUCCAGCAGAACCAGCCCUGACACUGCAGGAGGGCUGAGCCACAAUUCCAAUGGGACUGCUGCCAACACCCUGACCCACAGGGUGUCAGGUUGGGUUCUGACCCUGUCAGUGUUCUUCUAGUGCACUGCAUUGUUUAUUUUAUCCUUUUAUUGGUUUUUUCUUCCCUAUUAAAGAACUGUUAUUUCCUACUCCCA